rnacentral:rRNA from 1 species
UACGUAGGGGGCUAGCGUUGUCCGGAAUUAUUGGGCGUAAAGAGCUCGUAGGCGGCUUGUCGCGUCGGCUGUGAAAACCUGGGGCUCAACCCCGGGCCUGCAGCCGAUACGGGCAAGCUAGAAUUCGGUAGGGGAGACUGGAAUUCCGGGUGGAGUGGUGAAAUGCGUAGAGAUCCGGAGGAACACCGAAGGCGAAGGCAGUGUCCUGGCGAGUGACUGACGCUGAGGUGCGGAAAGCCAGGGGAGCGAACGGG